rnacentral:rRNA from 1 species
AGUCUUCCCUGUCGCUUUAAGCGACCUAAAGGAACGUUUAAGACUAAGACGUUGAUAGGCUGGGUGUGUAAGCGUAGCGAUACGUUGAGCUAACCAGUACUAAUGAACCGUGAGGCUUAACCUGACAACACCGAAAGUGUUUUG